UCCCGCCCCAGCCUCGGACAUCUCAGCCUUCAGGCGCGGCCCGGAGCCGCCCGCGAACCUCGGAAGCUGCAGUAGCUCCCCGCCGCGUGCUCUGCUCACCUGAAGCCCAGCCUGGGUCACCAACAAGAGCGAGCGCCCACGCCCCCCGCCCUGCUAGCCGCGGGCUCCAAGGCCUCCGCCCCGCUUCGCCGCCUCAGACCUGCCGGGUUCGCGAGAACGCGGAGGCGCGCAUCCGCGAGGGCCCCGCCCGCGGCCGUGGCUCCUGCAGCGCGCGCGACGCCGGUUCCGCCGGGUCGUCAGGGUCCAGGCCAGCAGGUGAGGCCCACCGCCCACUCACCUCUGCCGGGUCAGAACCGAGGGGCCUGCGCUAAGCCGUUUAAAACCGCUUGGGCCGCCGCACACCCCGCAGUGUCCUCGCUGUUUAUUGGUCCUCGGAGAACCGCCCAUCGCCCCUUUAUUGGUCCGUUUGAAAGGGCUGUGGGCACGCGCCGCCCGCGGCCUUAAAGGGACCGCGCAGCUGCGUUUCCUAGGGCUGCUUGUCAGGUGCUUGUCUGCCAGUGGCUGGAGGAAUGGCUACCAAGGCUUCAGAUAGAAGAGCGAAAGGUAACUACAGCCUACAGAAGUCCUGUGUCCUGUUAUUUACCUAGACUGGACCUUGCCCAUGUUGGCCUCUUAACUAGCGAUCUUCCAAUCUCAGGCCCCUGAGUAGCUUUACAGUCACCAAACCAACAAACAAGCAAUGGAAGUGUGGACUGCUGUGAAGUGCUCAGAAAUCUAACUCCACAUCUAAAUGGUCAAGCCAUCCAAUCCGCUUAUUUGUCAACAGAGAAUGUAACCUCACACAUGACUGCUCAGGAUCAGUCUAGGGAGAUGACGUUGUUGAGCCCAGGAACAGGAACAUGGACGUCGGUGUGGUCAUCGGUGUCCAGUGAGAUACGGCGAAUGGAGCCUCGGCUAGAGAAGAGCAGGGUCUCCAUUUUUCUGCUGUGUAUGCAAAGGUAGCAGGUUUAUGAGCUUCUGGGAUUCUCGUGUCUCUGCCUCCUAUCUUCCCUUGGGAGUCCUAGGAUAACAGACACUCAUGCUGCUCUCUACAGAGUUUAUGUGGACACCAGGAUUCGAACUCAGGCCCUCAUGCUUACAUAGCUAAUGCUUUUAUCUACUGUGCUGUCUCCAAGUUCAAUUUUACCAUAUAAGGAUCUUUGGCAAAAUGUUCCCAAUUUAAUCUCAGAUGAUUCAGAAAAACCACUGUGUGAAUGUAAGUUUAUAUUUGUGUGUAUGUAUGGAUGUGUGUGGAAAAAGAGGAGGGCAGGAGGAAGGGAAGGAAGGGAUAGGGGAAGAAUGAGAAUGGUACAGGAAAUGUAGCAAAAUGUUAUUCCUCUGAUACUCUUGAAAUUUUCCUGAAAGUUGGAAAUUAAAAUAAACAAUGGCAAAA